rnacentral:lncRNA from 10 species
CUGGGACCCACAGGAAUUCCCUCCCUUCAGUCCCGGGGGGAGGCGGCCGCGAUCCUGGGGGAGGCGCAGCCUCACAACCCGGACUUUGCGGGCGGGCGGGCACUGGUGAGAAGAGGAAGUGGGAGAGGCCUGGGAAGGAAACUUGGAAACCGAAAACUCGGCGGCCGAGGCUCCGUGCCCCGCGCGCAGCGCUGCUCCUGCCCCGGCCAAGGACGCACGGGCCAGCCGGCGGAACCAGAGGUUUUCAGUGAUGUUGAGAGUCAACAGGAAAUUAAUCAGCAAGUAGAAAAUUGAAAGAAGAUCUGCAUCUUACUGCAGGAGUCAUUAAAAUAAAAGCAGAUUUGGCAAAAUGGCAAGAACCAGAGGAUGAGGAUGUAAAACAAAAACUUUUGGAGUCAUUUUGCCACCAGGAUGAAAAUAGGAUGAAGCUGACAUGACAAAGGUGCAGGUGACAGCUUCUACCUUAUGAUCUGCGUUCCAGUCAGCGGGAAGGAGAUGGGGUGGGAAUGUGAUAAACCACUUCCCUUGAAGGACAUUUUCCAGAAGUUGUCAUAGCCUUCUCCAGCAUGUGUUCCUUCUGUAUUUCAGACAUGGCAGAGGAGACACAGCAAUAACUAAGGGGCAACUAUUGCAUCCAGAAAAAAAAAAAAUGAAGAUAAUGACUUCUCUGCAACUAAGAUGAAGAUCCACUGAACUUUGGGGUUUGAAAUGCAACGUUAGAACUUCAGACUCCCGGCACCUAGGUCUCCAGCUGCUGGGUGGUGCCAGCAUCAGAGAUACACUCUGCAAAACAUAUACUGUCUUAGGAAAAAGUGACCCUGUUGUCCUUUCAGGCCCAUAUUCCACAAGAAGACAAAUGGAGAUGUAAAAGGAAAACUGCAGCUCCGACUGAAGAGAGAGCAAGUUGUCUGUUCUGAUACAGCCAGGAAAUAAGAUGUUCUGGUUAAUAUGUGCUAAAGAUGUGGUGCUGACUUUCCGACUCAGAAUAUGAUCACAUGUUUUUCUCAUUAAAACUAUAUUGAAUAUUAUUUGACCAUUGUUGAGUCAGUCAUCUUGAUAAAUAUUAUCUUCGUACAGUCCUGAGCAGAGAGUCAGUGACUAGAAUGCCACUGAAACCAGCUUUUUAUAGGACACGGUUUUCAUGGUUUUAGGGCAUGGAGAAACUU